GCCCCGUUAGCACAGGAGGGAGUGCGUCAGUGUCAUGCUCUGAAGGUGGUGAGUUCGAUUCUCACACGGGGUG
rfam:Myotis lucifugus cont2.49178, whole genome shotgun sequence.